UAUAUACUCCCUCCAUCCCAAAAUAAGUGACUCAAAAGUGAGUCAACUUUGUACUAAAGUUAGUACAAAGUUGACUCACUUUUGAGUCACUUAUUUUGGGACGGAGAGAGUAUAUC
rnacentral:pre_miRNA from 1 species